GACGAACGCUGGCGGCGUGCUUAAUACAUGCAAGUCGAACGGAAAGGCCCUGCUUUUGUGGGGUGCUCGAGUGGCGAACGGGUGAGUAACACGUGAGUAACCUGCCCUUGACUUUGGGAUAACUUCAGGAAACUGGGGCUAAUACCGGAUAGGAGCUCCUGCUGCAUGGUGGGGGUUGGAAAGUUUCGGCGGUUGGGGAUGGACUCGCGGCUUAUCAGCUUGUUGGUGGGGUAGUGGCUUACCAAGGCUUUGACGGGUAGCCGGCCUGAGAGGGUGACCGGCCACAUUGGGACUGAGAUACGGCCCAGAAUCCUACGGGAGGCAGCAGUGGGGAAUAUUGCACAAUGGGCGGAAGCCUGAUGCAGCAACGCCGCGUGCGGGAUGACGGCCUUCGGGUUGUAAACCGAUUUCGCCUGUGACGAAGCGUGAGUGACGGUAAUGGGUAAAGAAGCACCGGCUAACUACGUG
rnacentral:rRNA from 1 species